UACGGAGGGGACUAGCGUUGUUCGGAAUUACUGGGCGUAAAGCGCACGUAGGCGGAUUUGUAAGUCAGGGGGUGAAAUCCCGGGGCUCAACCUCGGAACUGCCUUUGAUACUGCAAAUCUCGAGUCCGGAAGAGGUGAGUGGAAUUCCGUAGUGUAGAGGUGAAAUUCGUAGAUAUUAGGAAGAACACCAGUGGCGAAGGCGGCUCACUGGUCCGGUACUGACGCUGAGGUGCGGAAAGCGUGGGGAGCAAACA
rnacentral:rRNA from 1 species